ACUGAGAAGUCCAAUAUGGCACCAGCAUCUGGCAAGGACCUUCUUGCUGCAUCAUCACAUGGCAGAAGGCAAAAGGCCACAGAGGCAAGGGGGGCCCUAGCGUUUUUCAUAACUGCAUUAAUCCCACCCAUGAAGAUGAAGCCCUCAUAGCCUCAUCACUUCUUAAAGGUCCCAUGUCUUAAUACUGUUACAAUGGCAAUUAAACUUUAACAUGAGUUUUAGAAGGGACAUUCAAACCAUAGCACAGGUUUUUAAUCCCUGAGGCUGAAUCUUCUCCUCCAGAUCAGCUGCCCACUUUCACCUUGCUGUGAGUGUCAUUACGGAAAUAAAAGACUUUACAGUUCUCCACUGGCCCUUCAUGCACAUGAGAUGCCACUGAGUCCAAAUCUUCUGAAGAUUUUAAAAGUGAGUUUUGGAGAAUUGAAUAACUUUCCCAUGCAGUCGGCUGUCCAAGAAGCAUGGCACCAGCACCUGCAUCUGGCCAGAGCCUCAGGCUGUUUCCGCUUAUUGUGGAAGGUGAAGGGGAGAGGAAGGAAGCAAGAGGGAGAAAGA